GCAUGAAAGCCACGCCUAGGUAUUUCUAUUUCAGCUCCCUCCCCACUGCGAUUCCACCCUCACACACCACCACAGCUCCUCACUGCACCACCCCGGGCACUCCACUAGUCCAGCGACCAUCGGUGUUUACUUGAAGGAAAAUUGGUGGAAGUGCAAAACAGUUGUUGUAGAGAGGCCAAGACUUCCACAGGCCCUCUAGUUCGUUUUCUUCAAUGUCAUAUACAAGCUCUAAAAAUUUUGAUUUUCAGUGCAUGGUGCUAAAAUUUUCCUGAUGGAUGCCACUUUCAUGAGCAAAUGCAUUAGCUCCAACAAUGGCCUUAUGUGGCUGCACGUGCAGCCCAAUGUACUCUUCCACCAUUUUGCUCGACGGAAUAAUAUGUUGAGUAUUAAUCCAUAUGUUCAGAGAAUGGAAUUAUUUUUGCAGCAAAAUUUUUGAUUCAGGGACAAAUCUAAGCUUCUCUUCAAUUAGUUUAACAUCACUUGCAGUUCAAGGAAGAGCAAAACAUGAAAAUCUCUCAUUGGCAUAUGUUUCCAGGGAGUCCCUCCUAACUUUUUCUUUACUUAUAUAGUUACAUUGAGGACAAUGCAAUAUUUUUAGUUGGAGGGCGAGACUUCAUUUUGAUGGAUAUUUUGUGAUGGGGUGUGAUAUGUCAUGAUGGAUGAUAACUUGGUAGAUUGACUUUA